GGGGACAAAAAUGCAAAACCCUGAGGCAUGAACUAUCUUGGAAUAUUUUGGGAACGAAAAAAAGGCCUGCCUUGUUGGAGCAUAGUGACUACAAGAAGAGUAAGUUUGGGGACAGAGAAGAGGAGGCAGUGUGACAACGAGGCUAAGAUUGGAGUAAUACAGCCACAAGUGAAGGAAUACUGACCAGCUCUACCAGACUCUGGGGGAAACAAAAAUCAGAUUCUCCCCUAGGUCCUCCAAAACUGUGGCCCUGCUGACACCUUAAUUUCAGACUUCUGGCCUCAGAACUGCCAUUUCAGCUCAAUGUCAGGAAACACUUUCUAAUGGAAUGGGGCAAGGAAUGAGUGAAUUUCCAGUCACUUGAAGAAUUCAAGCAUAAAUUGUCACCUACUUGACUGGACAUAGAAGAGAUUCAAGCAUCAGAAGUAUGACUUUUGGAAUAAAUGGUCAAAUGUGAAAGUAAAUUCAGAGAACCCUGAGGUAUCAUUCAGAUGGAGUUACCAGAAGAAGGAAGCAAUCUGGAAUGUUGAGCCACUACAUGAAGGGCUGCCCUGGAGAAACUCCUGGACUCUUAGCAAAUUUGCCUGAUUCCCCCACACUGAAUAGAGAUGACCUGUGUGAAUAAGAUAUUCUGGAAAUGAAGACAGUGCCAUCCAAGGAUAAGUCUUAAAAGAUAUUGCAGACCCUGCAUUUUUCUCUCUUGGAUUAUCUAUUCUGGAGGAAGUCAGCCACCAUGCUGUGAAGCUGUUACGGAGAGAUCCAUGUGGGGAGGAACUCAGGUCUGCUGGUAGUCAACUAACUUGCCAGCUUUGUGAUUGACUCGUCUUAGAAGUAGAUUCUCCAGGCCUAGUCAAGCCUUUGGGUAACAACAGCCCCAGCCAACAUCUUGACUCAUGAGAGACCCCGAACAAAAACUACCCAGCCAAUUUGAUUUAUCCCUAAUCUACAGAAACUAUGAGGUAAUAAAUAUUUAUUGUUACUUUAAGUCACUAGGUUUUGAGGUAAUUUGUUAUGUAGCAAUAGAUAGCUAAUACAUCAUGGUACAUAAAAGGACAGAGAGCUGGAACUUAAUUGAACUUAUAAAAGAGAUUGUAUGAACUGUUGCAUGUAAGCCUCCUUAUUAAUUACUUUUUAAAAUGUCUGUUUAUAUGAUGGAAUUUGGUCUAAUACUUGCUUGCACUGUGACUUAGUAAAAAAGCUAUGUCAGAGGAACCACCCUCUUCACUUAUGUCAAAAAUUGGUGGCUACUUUUAUCUGUCAAAAAGAACAAAAUAGUUGUGCGUGACCAAAUUGACUUAGCUAAUUUUGCAAGACAGGCCUAUUGAUUUUUCUGCCUACUACAGCUUGGCUCUAUCCAUUUCUCUUUAUCACCACCAUCAGUCUAGUCCAGACUACCUUCAUGUCUCACCCUGGACCACUAUAACAAUCUUCUCACUCAUCUAGUCAUACCCAUUGAUCCUCUUCCAUCCCACCAUCAAUAUUAAAGUUAAAGUGAUCCUUUUAAAACACAAAUCUAUUCAAGUAAAUCCACCACCACCCCUGCCCUUAUUUAAAACCUUUUAGGACUCAGAGAAGAUCAUAAGGCAAAGACAUAGCCUAACAUAGCCUACCAAACUCCUGCCCGAUCUGGUCCUGCCAACCCUUUGAGUGUUGUCUUGAACUCUUCUCACUCUUGCUCUCUUUGAUUGCCUGUCACUGGCCUUCCUUCAAUUACUAGUACUUUUCCUGUUCCUACUCACAACAGAGAAUUUGUAUGUGGUGUUUCCUCUGCCUUGAAAUCUCUUCCUUUUCCUCUUUGUCUAGUUCAAGUCUGCCUAUCCUUCAUAUCUAGUGCAUAUGUCAGUUCUUCAGCAAAACUUCCCCCAAUCUCCCUGAUUGACUCUCAUACAUUCCCAUCAUACAUUCCCUCCUUUGUGUACCUGUCACAUUGCAAUUUUACAUUUGUUUGUGUAAUUAUUUGAUUAAUGUUUGUGUUUACUGCUAUACAUUCUCUAAGAGCAGGUACCAUAUAUAGUUUAACUCAUUUAUGUAUGCCCUGGAGCCCAAGAACAUACUGCAUAUUUGAUAAAUAUUUGAUUAAAGACUUAAUAACUGAUUAACUAAUUGAAUGAACUCAGGUGGGUAUAAAUGUUGCUUCAGAGCCAGAGUGCCUACGUUCAAAUUCUGGCAGUUCCUAACUAUGUAAUGUUAAAAAGAUUUUACCUCACUGAUCUUUAGAUUUGUCCUCUGUAAAUUGGGAAUAAUAAUUACCUUAUAGGGUAUUGCAGGGAAUAAAUGAGUUAAUAUACAUUGAGGGCUUAAAGCCAUUCCCAACACAUUAAGUGCUAUGUAUGGCAAGUGCAAUUAUUAUUAUUAUUGUUAUCAACAUGCUUAGUCAUUUCGUCAUGCUAGUUCCUUAGGCCAUGGCUACCAGUUCCUUGGAUAAGUUCAUUCUUUUCUUACAGAUAACAAAUUCCAAGUGUCUAUGUAAAAACAAGAAGCUAUGUAAAAGACACAAACUGAGGGCAGAGCUUAUAAAUCUUUUUGAGCUGUCCAGUUUUGACUUAGGUAUAAGGAUACUAAUAUUAACCCCCUUAUCACUGGUGUUUCUUUGGUAAUUUCCUAUUUAUACAAAAAGACAAAGCAGUGCUUAAAUGAGAAUUUCAAAGAGUUCUAUAGCUGUCUUUUACUAGGGCACAGUUCACGCACCAAAAAAGAAUUGAGCCCCCCAUCUCUCUGAGUUUUUUGCAUUGGUUACCUACUUGUAGUUCAAAUAAUGGCAAGAUAUUAACAUAAUAUGUAAUACUAUUGAUCUCUUUGGAUUAUAGACCUUCUAUACUUUGAGGCACUGACUUUAAAAUGUUAAAGCUACAGGUUUGUAACUUUUGAACACCAUAUGUUAUAAACUGUUGAAAUGAUGUCUCCCUACUUGACAGUGGAAAUGUUCAUGCUUAGUGCAAAGGCAGCAAUGGUUGGAUCUUGUUUAGCUGCUAAUGCUUCUUAUAGAAGUUGUGAAUGCUUGCACUUUAUUAUAUUCAGGGUCCCCACCUACAGAUAGGUCUCUUGUAAGCUGCCAUUAAUUUGGACAAUAGGUCAUAAACUGAAGGGUUGUUUUACGUAAGUAUUGCAAAUGAUGUGUUCUGUUCUUUGUUUACUACCAACCAUGAAAAACAACACUGUACUUUCCAGAGAAACUGAGAUCACCCAGUCCUUGCAACUUAGGUCAUUUUCGUUUGGGAGGGAAAAAAAAAUAAUUCUUUUCAACUCCUUGCCAGUUCCUCCUCGUUUUUUGAGAAGGCGAUACCUCUGAAAGAAAACAGAUCAAAGAUACAUGGGGCUAAGGGCAGAUCAGAUAGCUAUACUUUGUAGUCUGUUGAAAACAGAGCUAGCUUUACUGGAAAAGAGAUUAUGUGUUAUAGUUAUAAGGAACAGAGGAAAGGUUAGAGGGGUUACUAACCUAAAAAACCAACCCCCAGUCCUCUACCACCUUGUCAGAACUUAAAAUUCCACCAUUAGAAAUUCAUUUGUUUGCAUUUUAAACAGUAAUUCCUUAAAGCAGUUACCUGUGGAAAAAAGUGAAUUCUCUAUCAAUUAUUUUUCCUGAAAGUGAAUUUUGAAAGCACUGAGACCAAGAGGUAACACUAACUCCUGAAAACUCUGAUUUGACUGUAGGACUGCUAUGGAGAGAAAAGGUUGGAAGAGUACAGGUUACGUUUGAAGAGAAGCUAGAGGGAAAUCUGUGGCCAUAGAAAACAGUGAUUAUAAUGUGUGAUGACUGUGAGGAGAAAGAGAAAAAAGAAGUGGAUUUCUUUUUUGAUUUGUUGCUCUGGGCAUCUACAAUAGAAGAAAGAAAAUAUAUUACUAUAUGAUGAGAUACAAUGAAAAUGACACAGACAGAACAGGAGAGUCAUGCCUAGAAUGUGAGAGCAACUCAACUUUCUUAAAUAUCCUGGUCAUUAGCUUUUUUAUGACCAUAAUCAUGCUAAAUUCAUUCCUUACUUGUAGAGUAAUUAGUAUAUAUUGAGCAUCUUGAGAGUAAGACAAAAUUUUUAAGUUUUCUGUUUCUGAGAAGCUCUCCAUAUGUCCUCUCUCCAGUAAUUCACUCAUCAAUGCAUAAACUGUUUACCUAUUAAACUGAAUGUGACAGAUUGAGACCCCAUCCAUUAAAAAGUGAGGAAACACAGGUCCCUUUGUCUUGCGACAAGGAACCAAGGAACAUACAAAAAGUAAAGGUAAGAUGAAUAGAUAAGGAAGGAGGCUGGUACAGAUUUAUACAAUUAACUAUUAUUAUGUGCUCAAUAUUUGCCAGUUGAGCUGGAAAGGAAAAACUAUGUGUGAGAAAAAUCUAUCACCUUGUGAUGAGCAAAGAAGUUUUUGGCAGGAUGAGAAUUUGCUGGUGGGUAUAGGGAAGAUGGAAACAGUAGGAGCAAAGGAGUUGUCCCAAUUUACACUCCACCAGCAAUGUACAAGAGUAGUAGUAUCUGAUUCUGAAAAUUUUAGUAUGUAGUGGUACCUGAUUAUGGUUUUAAUUUACAUUUCCCUCAUAAAUAAUGAUACUGAAUCUUUUUUCAUAUGCUUGUUGAUCAUUUAGAUAUCUAGAUUUAUGAAAUACAUAUUCAAAUCUUUUGCCCGUUUUUCAAAAAAAUUGAGUUGUCUUAUUGAUUUAUAAUGGUGCCUUAUAUAUCUUGGUUGUAAGUUUUUUGUCAAUAGUCAUUUUAUAUUUUUCUUUUCCUACUCUGUGUAUCGUUUUCUCAUUCUCUUAAAAAUGUCUUUUGAUAAAUGAAAGUUCUUAAUUUAAUGAAGUCUAUUUUAUCAGUCUCUUUUUUCAUGGUUUGUGCUUUUGUAUUUAAGAAAACAUUGCCUAUCUUAAGGUCAUGAAGGUAUUUCCCUAUGUUUUCUUCUAGAAGUUUCAUUGUUUUACCCUUUACAUUAGAUCUUUGAUCUAUUUUGAGUUAAUAUUAUGUAUAAUGUGAGGAAGGGGUCAGGUUAAAUUUUUUCCAUAUAAAUAUUCAAUUGAUCCAGAACAGUUUAUUCAAAAGAUUAUCCUUUCCUCCACUGACUUGCACCUUUGUCAUAAAUCACAUAAUUCUUAAUGUGUGAUGAUUUUCCCUAACUAUUCUAUUAAAUGUAUUAUUUGAGUGAACAAUACAUUCAAUUGGUAAGAAAAUCAAAACAAAUUAAUGAAGAAACUAAAUUCAAAAAGGUACAAAAAUGCAAAUGGUGAAGAGCAGAAAUAAAUGUACCUUCUAUUCUGUUCAUCUGUACUCUUUCCCCAGAAGCAAUGACAAGUGUCAGUGCCCAGAUAUGCCAACAACUCUGCUUAACUUUCUAGGGUCCUGAAUAGAGAAAGCCCUUUAUCCCAAAGUCCACCCCCUGAUUCUAAUAUAAUGACUUCUCUAGGUGAUUCUGAUAUUAAGUUUCUAGGUGGUUCUGAUACGAGUUUGUUCCAACAUAAUUUAAAAGUCUAUUUUCCUUUACUCUUUUAAAAAGCAUAUGACUGGAUUUUUUUUUAAAGCCCAAUUAGAUUAAGACUUUAUUUUAUUAGGGGGAUUCAAGUUACUUAUAUUUAUUGUGACUGUAUUUAUUCCUGCCAUUUUAUUUAUAUUAUUUACUACUUUUUUUUCUUUUCUGCCUUUUGUGGAACUAAUCAAGCUUGAUUUUUUUCUUAUUUUAGUAGUUUAGAAAGUAUACGUCUUAUUUUAUAUUCUGCUCCUACAUAUUUAAAUUUUAACCUCCAUUUUAUAUAUAUUUGCUCUUAAAGUGUAGAAUUAAGUAGCAUCUGUAUCCUGCCCUGAUCCUGCCCUUCUCCCCCACUUUCUCCUACAACUCAAAUAGGGGAAGAUCCAAUUUUUGUACAGUCCAAAGCUUAUACAAUUUGGGGGAUCCUCUUUAAAAUAAUUUGAAAUUCUAAAUUUAAAAAUUGGGUAAGAAAGUGAAUGUUUAUUUAGAAUGAGAAAAGAAAUCAGAACAAAAUAUAAUUUUUUAAAUUUUACAAAUCUUUAAAAAAUGAUAGUUCCACAAACAUAACAGAAUCCAGAAAAUAACAAUAUUUUUAUUAACUGUCUGGGACACUUCUAUAAUACUUUUGUCCCUACAUUUUCUCUUAUAAUUUUGCAUUUCCGAUUAUUGGAAGCUAAUAGAAGCAAAUUGUAUUCUAGCUGUGUAUCUUUCAUGCUUGAUCCCUCUGUCCCCCUCACUGUCUACAUAACUUCCAGUGCUGGGUACCAUGGGACACACUUACAUCAUGAUACAUCCCUAGGCUCUGUAGCUUUGCCAGGUGAGUCAGCAAAGUUGGAAGCAGGAUUCCUAAGAUCUUUCCUACAUUGGGGGCACUAUGGAAGAAAAGUUAACGGUUCACAAAUUGACAGUGAACCACCUAAAUAUAUUCCCCUAAAUCCAAAUUAAAUGAUUUUCUCAACUCAACCUCCCCCUGUCCAAAUCCCCCAAAUAUCCAUAGCUAUGCAAUACCAUCUGUCUUUAAAAGUAUAACAGAGAGGAAUUGAGAGAAGAAACAAGAAGUGAUCAAAUGAUUAUUUUAGCAAAUAAAAUACUUAAAUAUUUUCAACUAUUUUAUAUUUUAAGGAUUUUAAAAGGAUAGGCAUAUAAAUCAUAUGAUCAUCUCAAUAGAUGCAGAAAAAACUUUUGACAAAGUCCAACAUCGAUUAAGGAUAAAAACUCUCAACAAAGUGGGUAUAGAGGGAGCAUACAUCAACAUAAUAAAGGUCAUAUAUGAUAAGCCCACAACUAACAUCAUACUCAACAGUGAAAAGCUGAAAGUAUUUUCUCUAAGAUAAGGAACAAGACAAGGAUGCCCACUCUCAUCAUAUUAUUCAAUAUGGUAUUGGAAGUCAUAGUCACAGCAAUCAGACAAGAUAAAGAAAUAAAAGGAAUCCAAAUUGGAAAAGAGGAAGUAAAACUGUCAUUGUUUGCAGAUGACAUGAUGUGAUGCUAUAUAUGGAAAAUCCUAAAGAUACCACCAAAAAACUAUUUGAACUAAUAAAUGAAUUCAGUAAAGUUGCAGGAUACAAAAUUAAUAUACAGAAAUCUGUUGCAUUUCUAUACACUAACAAUGAAUUAUCAGACAGAGAGAUUAGGAAAACAAUCCAAUUUACAACUGCAUCAAAAAGAAUAAAAUACCUAGGCUAAAUCUAAGCAAGGACAUAAAAGACUUGUACUUGGAAACUAUAAGACAUUGAUGAAGGAAACUGAAGAUGACACAAACAAAUGGAAAGAUGUGUCAUACUCAUAGAUUGGAAGAAUUAAUAUUGUUAAAAUUACCAUACUCCCCAGCAAUCUACAGAUUCAAUACAAUCCCUAUCAAAAUACCAAUGGCAUUUUUCACAGAACUAGAACAAAAAAUUCUAAAAUUUGUAUGGAUACACAAAAGACCUGACUAGCCAAAACAAUCUUGAGAAAGAAGAAAACUGGAGAUAUUAUGCUUCCUGAUUUCAAGCUAUACUACAAAGCUACAGUAACCAAAGCAGUAUGGUACUAGCAUAAAAACAGGCCCAUCAUUCAAUGGAACAGAAUAGAGAGCCUAGAAAUAAACCCACACUUUUAUUAUCAGUUAAUCUUUGACAAAGGAGGCACAAAUACACAAUGGGAAAAGACAGCCUCUUCAAUAAAUGGUGUCGGGAAAACAGGACAGCUACAUGCAAUAGAAUCAAACAGGACUACUUUCUCACACCAUAUACAAAAAUAAACUCAAAUAGAUUAAAGGCUUAAAUAUAAGACCUGAAACCAUAAAACUCUAGAAGAAAACAUUGGCAGAGUGCUCUUUGACAUCAGGCAUAGCAAAAUGUUUUUUUUUAAUCUGUCUUCUCAGGCAAGAGAAAUUAAAGCAAAAAACAAAUGGGACUACAUCAAACUAAAAAGCAUUUGCACAGAGAAGGAAACUAUCAACAAAACAAAAAGGCAGCCUCCUGAAUGGGAGAAGAUAUUUGCAAAUAGUACAUCUGAUAAGGGGUUAAUAUCCAAAAUGUACAAAGAAUUCAUGCAACUCAACAUCAAAAAAGCAAGCAACCCAAUUCAAAAAUGGGCAGAGGACCUGAGUAGACAUUUUUCCAAAGAAGACAUGCAGAUGGACAACAGACACAUGAAAAGAUGCUCAACAUCACUAACCAUCAGGGAAAUGCAAAUCAAAACCGCAAUGAAUUAUCACAUCACACAUGUGAGAAUGGCUAUUAUCAAAAAGACAACAAAUAACAAACGUUGGCAAGGAUGUGGAGAAAAGGGAACCCUCAUGCACUAUUGGUGGGAAUAUAUUGGUAUGACCACUAUGGAAAACACUAUGGCAAUUCCUCAAAAAAUUAAAAAUGGAACUACUAUACGAUCUAGUGAUUCCACUUCUGGGUAUUUUUCUGAAGAAAACAAAAACACUAAUUAGAAAAGAUUCAUGCACCCCAAUGUUCUUUGGAGCAUUAUUUACAAUAGCCAAGAUAUUGUAGCAACCUAAGUGCCCAUCAAUAGAUGAAUGGAUAAAGAAGAUGUAGUAUUUUGUACAAUGGAAUACUACUCAACCAUAUAAAAAAUGAAAUCUUGUCAUUUACAACAAUAUGGAUGGACCAAGAGCAUAAAGCAUUAAGCCAUGCAGCUAACUCUCCUUAUACCUUUUCCUGCUGUUUACCUGUAAACUGAAAAAGUUACUGCUAUGGUUUGAAUGUUCGGGUCCCCCCAAAAUCUGUAUGUUGAAAUCCUAACGCCGAGAGAUGAUGGUAUUAGGAGAUGGGGUUUUGGGGAGGUUGCUUAGGUCAUGAGUGUGGAAUCCUCAUGAAUGGGAUUAGUGUUUUUAUAAAAGAGACCCCAUGCAGCUGCUUACCCUCUUCCGUGAGGACACAGAGAGAAGUCACCAGCUAUGAGCCAAAAAAGGCCUUCAUCAGAAUGUGACCAUCCUGGCACCUUGAUUUUGGAUUUCCCAGCCCCCAGAACUGUGAGAAAUAAAUUUGUGUUGUUUAUAGCUCCCCAGUUUGUGACAUUUUGUUGUAGCAGCUCAAAUGGACUAAGACGGAUAUUUUCUUUCUUUGUUUUAGGCUCAAAUGUUUAAUGCUUUCUCUGUUUAGAAUUAUAUUGCUCUACUUUAAAAAUGGCUACCAUUUAUUUUAUUUUUUUAGGAAGUGUUCCCUCCUGGUACAUUUCCUAAAAGAGUUUGUACCUGACAAGGGUUAUUUGUUUAAGUGUUUGAUAGCACUCACCAAUAAAAUCAUCUGGGCCUAGAGCUUUCUCUGCCAGAAGGUUUUUCAGUGAAAAAUUCAAUUUCUUCAAGUAAAGCGCUAUUCAGAUUUUCUGCUUCAUUUUUUGUCAGUCGAGUAAGUUAUAUUUUUCAGAGAAUUGGUCUAUGUCAUAUAAAUUGUUGAAUUCAUUGGCAUAAAGAUAUUCAUCAUAUUUCCUUAUUAUCCAUUUAAUUCUUUAAGAUCUGUACUGAUACACCCUCUUUUAUUCUUCACACUGAUAACUUGUGUUCUCUUUUUUUUUGUCUUCAUCAGUCUAGCUAGGAAUUUAUCACUUUUAUUAAUCUUUUCAAAGAGCUGUUUUUUUGGCUUUGUUAAUUUUUUCUGUAGUUUCCUGUUUCAUUACUUCCUGUUCUUAUUUUUAUUAUUUCUCUUUUCCCAUUUAUUUUGAGUUUACUUUGCUUUUCUUUGUCUAACUUUUUAACUUGGAAACUUAUGUUACCACUUUUAUAAUUUAUUUUCUAACAUAUCCAUUUAGAACUGUAACUUUCUCCUAGCACUGUUUUAGCUGCAUCUCAUAAAUUUUGAUAUGUUAUAUUUUCAGUAUCAUUCAGUUUGAAAUAUUUUCUAAUUUCCAUUGCGAUUUCCAUUUUUAACCCACUGGACUAAUUAAGCAUGUAAUGUGAAUUUCAAAUAUUUGCAUUUGGGGAAAUAUAUCUUAUUAUUAUUGAUUUUUAAUUUAAUUUCAUUGUGAUUACAGAAGAUACUUUUCAAGACUUCAGUCUUUUAAAAUUUAUUAAGACUUGUUUUAUCAUAUGCUCAGCAUAUGAUCUAUUUCAGUGAGCAUACCAUGUGCACAUGAAAAGAAUGGAUAUUCUAUCAGUCAUUGUAUAUAGUAUUCUAUAAAUGUCAGUUAGGUCAAGGAAAUUGGUAGUAUUCAGAUCUACAUCUUUACUGAUUUUUUUCUGGCUGUUCUGUGAAUUGCUGGGAGAGGGGUGUUAAAUAUUCCAUGAUUAGAUUUGUCUAUUUCUUCACUUAAUUGUCAAUUUUUACUUCAUGUGCUUUAAAGGUCUUUUAUUAUGUCUUCUUAGUGAAUUGAUCCUUUUGUUAUUAUGAAUUAUCCCUAUCUUUGUUAAUUUCCUUUGCCUUGAAGUCUGUUUCAUCUGAUAUUAACAUAGCCACUUCAGCCUUCUUUGAUUGUUUGCAUGGUUUAUAUAAUGUUCCAUCUUUUUCCUUUCAACCUAGCCAUGUAUUUAAAGUAAAUUAUUUUUUUUACAGAACAUGUAGUUGGGUCUUGCUUUUUUAUUAUCCAUUCUGAAAUUUUCUACCUUUUAGCUAGAGUUUUAAACUAAUGUAUAUCUAAUGUAACUAUUAUUCUGUCUCUAUUCUUACCACUUUACUGUUUGCUUUCUGUUUGUCCCAUUAGCUUUUUGCUCUUCUUUGUCUAUUUAUCCACAGUUUUUAGGCUAACUGAACAUUAGUUCUUUAGGCCUAUAAGAUUGCAAGUUUUUACCUGGUUUUUAGUCACCCAGCAUGGCACCAGAUGGCCAAAAACCCCAUAAAAACAGGAAGUUCACUAAGUGUCAUUCACUUUAUCAAUUAAUUUUUCUGAUUCACUCCUGUUUUUUAUUACUUUUGGUCAUAUUCCCAUGCCUUUAGAUAGUUGUUUUUGAGAUACUGUCCAUAUUUUAUCACUGUUACCUGUGGAACACUUUGCUCAAUAGUAGCUACUCUCCUUUUGCCAGAGAUGGAGGCUAAUUUUUAAAGCUUAUAACAACUGUUACAAUGCCCCUCACUUACACAGUGUCUGAUGAAUCUAGGUGUUUAAGUGACAUCCACCAGUUUGUAGCUAUGGCUUCCUGAAAUAAUUAACUAGUAGAGGCAUAUGAAUGGAUCACUGCUAGCUCUGAAAUCUACUGUUGGUGGAAUCAUGAAGAAAAGCUUGCUAGGUGAUUUUUGUGUUUGUGAAGUAUUUAGAAUGUUGGUAAGAAAAUGAAUAAGCAAUAUUUUAAGUGUUCACCUUUCGAUAGUGGAAUUAUAAGAUGAUUUGUUUUCUCCUUCAUGUUUUUUUAGAAUUUUCCAAAUCUGUGUAAUUGAACUGCUUUAUAACUGAAAUGAAGAUAUUAGUUCUUUUUUACUAAAGGGAAUGAAAGAGCACUAACAUUUGCUGAGUACCUACCAUGAGCUGGGUAGCGCACUAGGCACUGUCCCAUUUAAAACUUUUUAGAUAUUUUUUAAACCAGAGGAAAAUAUUUUUUUAGUUAACUGUUAAAGUGUGGUUUAAAAGUAUAUUUAUUUUUCAUCAUAAUGAUGUCUCUUGGUUGGUUGUUUGUUUUUCAAUAGGAGCCUUUCUGUGUCCUGCCCAGGUUAACAUUAGUCAGCAAGCUCUAGAUACACAUCAAUAUCUGAUAUGCAGUAUGGGUGAGAAAAACCAAUGCUCCUUCAAUAUCCCCAGGCAUUAAAUUUAACCUCUGGUAAUCUUGGAAAGGGACAAUUUCCCUGUGUCUUCCUGAUAUUCUUGAGUUACCUAAACUGUGUGGGAUCUUGUCUUUUCUUCUAAGGAGCAAUAAAAUGUUUCAUUUAAUUCAGGAGCAAUAACACCUUUCAUCCAGCCUCAUUCAAUUUACCAGUUUAAUUUUUUCUUCUCAUUCUUUGAGAAUGCUUAAGCAAUAAGAGUAUAGUCAUAAUAGAGCAAGGCUGAACAAUAUAUUGCACAUUGUACAUAUACUACACAUGUAGUACAUGUAGCAAUGUACUACAUGGGCAGAAUCAGAGACCAAGCAAACUUCAGCCCUCAUUUCCUGAGGACCAAAAGCAGCUCCUGUGUUCGUGCCCUAGGACUUACCCUCAGUGCUUUCUAGGUAAAACUGCCUUGGAUUCCCUCUCCUAAUCAGGAGAAGGUGAUUGGAUUAAGUCAUGUUUCACAUGAAGUAUUUUGGCCCCUUAUUUGAACCAGUCACUACACUUGAGGCAGUUGUAACCAGGACUGCUGUAAUGAUCUGACAAAAGACCUAUUCCUUCAACAUUACCAGUCAUUAACUCUCCAAGACAAGAUGUGACAUGCCACAGCCCUCAGAGAGUUCAUCCAGUAGGAGCCUCUUCUUGACAAAUACAAUCCCUUUUCACCUUUGUUCAUGACAAUUUUAUUUCUUUCACAGUGUCAAACUACCAAUUUUUCCAGAUCAGCACUUCCUAGUUGGACCAAGGGAAUUUUUUUCACUUCAAAGAGAGAUGCUACUAUCUUUUCACUUUUGAUUGUAUUUUACUUUAAUUGGUCUUUCUCAGAAUAGUAAUUUUAAGUAGAUACAUAUUUAAAAUAGCAAAGCUUGAUACUAAUGCCUGUCAUUGUUUUCUCUAUCAUUAUUUUGGCUGCAAAUUUUACAGUUUGAAGUAUAAAAAGCCUGUUUUAAGCAUAUGCCCUACUUCAUGUUCAGUGUAUGCAAUACUUAUUGCACAGAUGUGAUGCCAAAACGAAUCCAGCAACUGGGAUAUUUGCCUUAAAGUAAAAGAGAAGCAGGACACUUGGUGUCUAGUCUUCAAUUCUUAACUUUAUUUAAGUAACUUUGCCUACCUAGGAAAUGAUAAAAUAAAUUCUUUUGUAAAAAUGGGAUUACUGGUUCAAAAUAUCUCUUUUUCCUCCAGUGGUUAACCCUAUACAAAACUAUAAAACUGAUACCAAAAUUAAGAAGCACUUUCCUUUAAAGGUGUGAUUCCCCCUGGAGCAUCUCUCAUUAGCUAGAAUCCAGGUUCAACAAUCUGAAAACCAAUGCAGGGUUAUGAACAGAAGUAAAGCGGAAUAUGGUUCUUUUUCGGUUGAUUUAAAAUGUAACCAGGCAAACACAGGAAAACUAAACUGAGAGACUCAGGGGAAAAACAGAUCACAGAGAAUAUAAUGGCCUAAGAGCAGUCUGAGGUGAGAACCUGCAGAUGGUCAGGGAAAAGGCAUUCCAAGUCAAGUUCAGGAACUGGAUGAAUGGAAAUAAGGAAAGUGGACUAUGCAGUUGCCAGAUGAUAUCCAAAGGCAUAAGAGUAUGGACUCUUGUACUGAGCAUAGAUUUUCUCUCCAGAUAAGCCUUCUCUGGAGUGUAGAAUAGCAAAGGUCUAUGAGAUAGAGUUUACCAGGGGUCAGCUUAAGAUAAAAAGAAUGAGAAAGAAGAAAAAAAACUAAGGAAGGAGUAGUAACUUCAACUCUUGUUCUCUCUUGAAGACUGUCACAUUGAAUCUAAUAGAGGAUCAUCUGCUUAGUAAUUAGAGUUGAAUGGAUGGGAUCUCUAAUGAACUGAAGGAGAAUGAGUGCUAAUCUGAAUGAUGGGCGGUACCUAAAGCAGUGAGACUAGGAGGAGAAAGGCAAUUCCCUGUGAGACAGAGAAUAAGGUUCAGUGGAUAUAGGAGAGCAAACUCAUGGUAGCAUUUAAAAUUAAUUAUUGGGACUUCCCUGGUGGUCCAGUGGUUAAGAAUCUGCCUUCCAAGGCAGGGGACGCAGGUUCAAUCCCUGGUCAGGGAACUAAAAUCCCACAUGCCAUGCGGCAACUAAGCCCGCAUGCCGCAAUUACUGAGCCUGUGCGCUCUGGAGCCCGCACACCACAACUAGAGAGAAGGCCCACGCACUGCAAAGAAGAGCCCACGCACCACAACGAAAGACCUCGCAUGCCACAACAAAGAUCCUGUAUGCUGCAACUAAGACCCAAUGCAGCCAAAUAAAUAAAUAAAAUACAAAUUUAAAAUAAAAUAAAAUAAAUUGUUAAUUAAUUGACAUCAAGGUAACUUUCAGCUAUUCAGUUACAGAGAAAACCCACAUUUAGAGGUUACAGUUACUUUUCUUCUCUUAAGAUAUAGUUAGAUGUGCUUUACUUCCCCAGUGUAUAUAAUUUUUUAAAAUAAUAGUCCAGAUUAUGAACUAGAAAAGCGAGUUAUUACCAUGUAACAGUUUUAUGCUAUGGGGUAUAAUUGUUUACUAACUUGUUCCAAAUUCUCUCAUUUUUUGUUUCUUUCUCUCUUAAUUAGAUUUUUCAGUACCUCCAGGGCUGGAUAAAUAUUAUGCAUUGCUUAAAAGCCUGACCUCUGAAGGUUGAUACAGCAGGUGUGAUUCCUAGCUUCUCUUAUUCACGUGGCCUUCAGCAAAUUAUUAACCUCUGUAAGCUUCAGUUUCUUCAUAUGUAAAAUGGGAAUAAUAAGAAUACCUUCCUCAUAGGGUUGUACUGAGGAAUAAGUAAAGUAAAUAAAAUGAUGUAACAUAGGGCUUCCCUGGUGGCGCAGUGGUUGAGAAUCUUUCUGCCAAUGCAGGGGGCACAGGUUCAAGCCCUGGUCUGGGAAGAUCCCACAUGCCGCGGAGCAACUAGGCCCGUGAGCCACAACUACUGAGCCUGCGCGUCUGGAGCCUGUGCUCCGCAACAAGAGAGGCCACGACAAUGAGAGGCCCGCGCACCGCGAUGAAGAGUAGCCCCCGCUCGCCACAACUAGAGAAAGCCCUUGCACAGAAACGAAGACCGAACACAGCCAUAAAUAAAUAAAUAAAUAAAUAAAUAAAAAUGAUGUAACAUAAAUAAAACAUUUCCAUUUUGUGACAAAUAGCACAGCAUUUAAGAACUGAUUUUCGCGACUUCCCUGGAGGCACAGUGGUCAAGAAUCUGCCUGCCAAUGCAGGGGACACAGGUUUGAGCCCUGGUCCAGGAAGAUCCCACAUGGUGUGGAGCAACUAAGCCCAUGCGCCACUACUACUGAGCUUGCACUCUACAACCUGCGAGCCACAACUACUGAGCCCGUGUGCCACAACUACUGAGCCCGCAUGCCACAACUACUGAAGCCCGUGUGCCUAGAGCCCGUGCUUCACAACAUAAGAAGCCCGCGCACCACAACGAAGAGUAGCCCCCGCAACUGGAGAAAGUACGUGUGCAGCAACGAAGACCCAAUGCAGCCAAAAAUAAAGUUAAUAAAUUUAUUUAAAAAAAAAAAAAAGAA